AGUGGAGAUGCUAUCUCUCCUCUCUAUGGGUCCUGUCAUUUCUCUCUCUGGGUUUAUUCACUUCCCUCUGAGGGUCCCUUGACCUUCCCUCACAUGGAGCUAAUCACCUCUUAUCUGUAGGUCUCUUCACAUCUCUCUGUGGAAGGACUCACACACUCAUCCUGCUGUUCAGCCUGUGUGUUGAGCAUAUGCCUGCUUGACACUGAUCUAGGUGUGGGGAUACAACAGUGAACAAAGUAGGCAGUCCUUACCUUGCAAGAUAUCCACCCUCUGCUCUAGUGACAUAAGAUUGUGAGGAGAUGUGAAAACGAGAAAGGAGUACACAAGGGAGGAGUUUUGCUCUUGUAGAAAAGGAAAUACUUUGAGCAGAUGCCUAAGUGUAAGGAGAAACAGAGACCUGUCUGCAUCUACAGGCAGUGUGUGGGUAGGCAAAAUGGAAUGUGUUCUAAACAGAGAGGAGCUGAGGAAGUAAAGACAGCAUGUAGUUUGGAAUUUUUACUGUGAAGAUAAGCAAAGAAAUAGGAUUUUAGGGGUCUGGGCGGUAGCGCAGUAGGUUUACGCACACAUGGCACAAAGCGCAAGGUUUGGCAUAGGAUCUCAGUUCAAGCCCCCAGCUCCCCACCUGCAGGAGGGGUUCGCUUUGCAAGCACUGAAGCAGGUCUGCAGGUGUCUGUCUCUCUCCCCAUUUCUGUCUUCCCCUCCUUUCUUGAUUUUUCUCUGUCCGAUCCAACAACAAUAGCUAUAGCAACAAUAACAACCACAAUAAGGGCAACAAAGGGGAAAAAUGGCCUCCAGGAACAGUGGAUUCAUAGUGCAGGCACCAAGCCCCAGCGAUAACCCUGGAGGCAAAAAAAAAGCAAUCAGAUUUUAGUAAUGUGCUCAGAACACAUAGAGAUGGAUGUGGAUCUGAUCCCACAGAGAAGAUGCUGGGGUGAGAAACUGUGAGUGAGUGAGGAGUGUGUUGGGCAGUUGGAGGAUACCCACAGAAGAUGAGAGGUUUUCACUUACGUGGGCACAGAAAUGUGUGUGUGUGGGGUGUGUGUGUGUACAUGCUUUUCUGGUUUCUUCUUGGUGACUUGAAAACUGAGACCACUGGUGGUCUUGGCAAUAAAACAUAGUGUGGGAAGUCGGGCGGUAGCUCAGCGGGUUAAGCGCACAUGGCGCAAAGCGCAAGGACGGUGUAAGGAUCCUGGUUCGAGCCCCUGGCUCCCCACCUGCAGGGGAAUCGCUUCACAAGCAGUGAAGCAGGUCUGCAGGUGUCUAUCUUUCUCCCCCCUCCAUCUUCCUUUCCUCUCACCAUUUCUCUCUGUCGUAUCCAACAAUGACGAUGACAACAACAAUAAUAACUACAACAAUAAAACAACAAGAGGAAUAAAUAAAUACUAAAAAAAAAAACAAAACAGUGUGAAUGGCUCUCUGGACUUCAGAGAAUGGAACAUUGAGCUGACCAACGAAAUACAGAGGCAUGUCAGGGGCCACCCUUAAAGCUUAUGGCUGCAAAUGAAAGAAAAGACCACAGUGGUGGUGGAGGAGUGGUUUGUACUUCUACCCUCACCCCCUUAGUGCACAUGCACUGUUGGGUUUUAACUUAGCAGAUAGAGUUGAGGCAAAGAAAAGGAGGUGAGUUGGUAGUGUAAGUGAAAAGGAAGGCUACAAAGAUGGCUCUGGAAAUAGAAAUGGGUGAGGAAUGGGCUGUGCACACAGUGGGAAGUUAAUGGACUGGCAGCAUGGAGUCAUGAAAUUAUUAUAGCAGGACAUGAUAGGAGUCUCUGGUGGUGUGGGGUAGUGAUGGAGCAUGAACCAGAGUAACAGCAGAGAUGGGUGGGGGACUAGAUCAGGGAAGAGGAGUGGA